CCAAAUUGAUCAAAAAUACCAAUUUCACUUUAAUUACCCAUUACUCACCAACUAGUUUCGUCCGUCUUUCAGCACUUUGAACCCUAAAGCUUUUCUUUUCAAGAUAUUUUUUAUUUCUUCCAACUGUUUGUUCUGCCUUGCAAUUUUCCUAUUUUAAAAUAUCAACGUGACUUGUCUGUACUUUGAAAAAUUGAAAACUCAUUUUUCCUAGUUUUCAAAUUUGUGUCCAUAUUUUCCGGCAUGAAAAGCUUUGGGUCACUCACCGUCGAACUUCCUAUUCCGGUGAGUACAAGACCAAGACCAAGAGUAAUCUGCAUGCAGAGAUUUGUCCCCGAACGUCUAAUAAAUGCUAAAGCUGUUAGGUCACAUCAUUUCAAGCUUGAAAAGCUAAAGGUGCUGAGAAGUUCGAGUAGGAGAAAAGUCAGUUUCUUUGCCAAUGCAGAGGACCGGUUAUCCAACAGCGAGCUUGAGGAAGAUGGUUCUGAGCAAGAAAGUGAACAUCCUAGUGUUGAAUACAUUGCCUCUGUCAGUAGUUCAAAUGCCCAACUUGAAGGUGCUGGUGGUAAGCCUGGCAUACUAUCAUUCUACAAUCAUCCUUACAGAAGGGAGGAGAAAAUCCUUGUAUCCGCUGCUGCAAAGAACCAGAACAUUCUGCUGUGGUUUGUUGGCCCAGCUGUCCUUGUUGCCUCUUUCAUCUUUCCCUCGCUUUACUUGCGCAGGAUUUUAUCAACUAUAUUUGAGGACUCUUUAUUAACUGAUUUCCUCAUCUUGUUCUUCACAGAGGCUAUCUUUUACUGUGGAGCAGCAGUGUUUCUUCUCUUAAUAGAUCGUUUAAGGAGACCGCUUGAGCUAGUAUCUUCUGACAGGAGAAUUACCCCACCACUCGGAUAUAGAAUAUCUUCAAUUUCUGUACUAGUACUUAGUCUAAUAAUUCCAAUGGUGACCAUGGGGUUUGUCUGGCCAUGGACGGGUCCUGCAGCUUCUGCUACUCUUGCCCCCUACCUUGUUGGUAUUGUUGUGCAAUUUUCUUUUGAGCAGUAUGCAAGAUAUAUUGACUCACCUUCAUGGUCUGUUAUCCCCAUUGUUUUUCAGGUUUACAGACUGCAUCAGCUGAAUAGGGCAGCACAACUAGUAACAGCCCUUUCUUUGACAGUAAGAGGAGCAGAGAUGACUGCCCAAAACAUGGCAAUAAAUGGCUCAUUGAGCACACUUCUUAAUGUCCUUCAAUUUCUUGGGGUGAUUUGUAUUUGGUCGCUUUCUAGCUUCAUCAUGAGAUUUUCCCCUUCAUCUACUAUGGCUAAGGGGUAAGACAUGGUUCAGGUCAUCACUAAAUACUACGGAAUGUCUGCAGUUGCUAUCGUCUAGUUGGUUGUUUGCAAAUGCCACAGGUCUUUUGUGGUUGCCAUGGUUAUUUCUUCAGAUGGUUCCUGUUGUUGACUUUAUCUUUGUUGAUUCUGGAAGAACAUGAACAUGGAAGCCUUUCCGACAUUCUGCCGAAAAUUCUUGGCAAAUGAAGGAAUGCAAGGUAUAGGGCUGCUGAUACCUUGUCACCUGUUCUGUAUUUGGUUCAAUAGGCUGUGAAUUCGGACAUCACUAGAUAGGCGAAUCUGAUGAUCUCGUCAAUAACUCAGUGGACAACAACAUGCUCCUGUAGCAGAUAUUCAAAAAAGAAAUGCUUUUGGGUGUCUGGUAUAUGAAGGAAAAUGUUUUCAUGAAAAAAAGUGGGUUCUUGUUUUUUUAGCGUUUGGGAAGUACUCAAAAGGUAUUUGUUCCAAGAGCAUUUAUAUGUAAUUUGACACAACACUUUUAGGGUGAGAUGGAGUGGGAAUUGGGGAUGUAGCCGGGUAGGAAGAUGAAGGGGUGUGGGUUGGAAGAGUUGAGUUUGUGAGGAGACAGUGAACUUGUCCUGCUUUCUAGAUUAGCAGAGUCAUGGUGAAAUACAUUCACAAGCAAAAGGCGCACAGAUUUUGUAAUUACCCGUAGUCCAUGGCACGUUUAUGGCUAAGUUGAUCUCGAUGAAAUUACUUGAAUUUGAAUGAUUUGGGUUAUAUGUGAUCCUAUCAACUUAAAGGGGUCGUUUGGUAGAGUGUACUAAAAAUAUAAUACACGCAUUAUUCUUUGUGUAUUAAUAAUACCAUGUUUGGUAUCAUUUUUUAGACUAUGCAUAACUAAUACUUGCAUUAGUUAUACACAGUAUUGUGUUUUAAGGUGUGUGUUAUUAAUACUCAUCGUUUCCUAUGUAUUCGUAAUACCAAGUAUUUCAACGCAUGUAUUAAUUUGUAAAUGACAAAUUUACCCCUCAAAGCUCUACUAAAACAUUUCCCCCAAAUUUUUUUUCCACGGUUCUUUGCUGCAGCUUUCAACAAUGAAAAAGAAAAAUUCAAUGACUAAAUUUUUCCUCAAAUCUCUACUAGAAUAUUCAUGUUCCUUGUAUUUUACCUUUAUUCUUGUACUUUGUCUUCUCUUCUCUUCUUUACACUGCCAUGAAAAAAUAUGAAAAAUUUUCACCGCAUCUUCUUCUUCUUUUCAUAUAAUUAGACAUUGUUUGCUCUUCUACACUAGAAUUAAAUGUUCUGUUAUUGGGAGCUUGAAUGUGAAAUUGGAUUCUUUGUUUUUGAAGAUUGUUUUUGAAUUUUUUGUUGCUUAAUUUUUCAUGCUAAUCUGUAAAAUCAUGACUAUUUUUGGUGAUUUUCUAAAGUUGUGCAUAAAAAUUGUUUAAUUCCCUCAUGUUCCAACUAUCUUCUGUAUGAGGAAUUGCAAAAUCAAAGUUUGUCAUACAAACUUUUUUUAUGGAAAGGGAAUGGAUAUAAACUGUUUGAGGAGUUGAUGGACAAUGAAGUCCAAUUCGUUUGUUUGGGAACGAAAGUGGAGAGGGUAUUUUAGUCAUACAAAAUAUUUUUUAUAAAAAUUAUACAACAUAUAUUAUUUUUAAUACAUCAAACCAAACACUGCAUAAGAAAAAUACAAGCAUAACUAACGCAGGUAUAACUAACACAAGCAAUAUAUAUAUAUAUAUAUAUUACACUCUGGGAAGGUUAAAAAUCACGUGUCUACAAACAGGUAUCUUCUUAAAGGUUUUGCUGACACUUCAACAUAUACUAAUGCAGAUAUUUUUGAGAUAGUAUCUAGGUGUGAUUACCUUGGUUGCUUAUUCUUGGCUUUUAGUAGUUGUAAUCUUCUCUUUUUUUAUACCCUUUGGUAAGUAAAAGGUACGUAAGGAACUUGGAGUAACUAGUAUAGUUGUUGCCCUGCCAUGUGACCGAGAGGUCAUGGGUUUAAGCCGAACAACCUCUGGCAGAAAUGUAGGAUAAGAUUGCCGUAAUUGACCCUUACGGUCUAGUCCUUCUGCGGACCCCGUACAUAGCAGGAGCUUUAAUGCACCGGCUGCCCAUAAGUAACGGGUAUGCAGUAUUGCAGAGUGCUAAGUGAACUUAUGAUGCAGUAGUCAGUUUCCAGAAUUGGGUCAUAAGACAGUCAAAUGUCCUUUUGAAAUUUUUAAUAAUAGUGUGGGUCUGUUUGUAGUGUGGAAACUUGGCUCUUUUUAGUAAGCAGUGAACAGUGAACUUGGCUCUGUUUGUAGUGUGGAAACUUGGUUCUUAUUACUCUUUUUAGUUCCAGGCAGAGUAAGAAACUUGCAUUUUCCUAGUUCUUGUCCUUCACUAUUUUUUCAUUUUCUUUCUCAUGGAUUUUUGCUACAGUGAAAUUAGGACUAGUGAUAAUUUCUAUGUAAUUAAAGCAUGUAAUACGAAUUGUUUUGGAAAGAAAUCUGCAAGAAAAUAAUUCAAUCAAGCAUGUUUGCAGUUGAGAUAAUGCUAUUACCGUGUGUGUUUUUGGUGUUUGUAUGGGUAUUGCAUUUAUGAUAAUUGUUUCCCGGACAUUGAAAUUAGGACUCUAGCUGUUAUUGUUGUGUAAUUAGAGUACGAAAGUGCUGUUUUAUUUUGGAAAGAAAUCUACAUGAAAAUAAUUUGAGGAUAGGCAUAUAUAUGGUUGAUAGCUUCAAAUAAAGGCAUUCAGCUUCAUCGAUGUUCAAAUUUUCUCUUUGUCGGGUAACUCCAACAUCCUGCAUAUGGCAAGGCCUCUAAGGGGAUGGGGUGGUCUCGGUUGGAGUCAUGAUCGAACAUGCCGCUUGCUUGGUGGGCUUAGUUUAGAAAUAAAGUUGCGCGCUUGCUAUUAGCUAUAGUUUAUGGCAUGAUGGUAAGCGCUUGAUCCUAACAAAGUUCUUCACGUCUAAAAGUGGUAAAAAAGUAGUCACCCCUUUACCAUCUGGACUUUUACGCUGUUGCUUUUUCGGUCAGAUAGCAUGAUCGUUAACAUACUGGGAUGAGGUGGCAAAGGGGUGACCAUGACAGUGAUGUUUUUCAUUAGUGUUGUUCUUUUUUGUGAUGCAAGUGCAUGCUUUACUUGUUCCUGCUUAAGUUUGUCCGACAUAUUUGAAGAAAAGGUGGGUUUCUUUCAGUUUUGGCCGUUUGCUUGCAAUUUUCAGCUCUUCAUGCCUUUCGCUAUGUCCCCGUCCUAGAAGAUGGCACUUCAAUUCAUGCUCUGAGGUGGUUAUCACUUGAAAUACCACACAAGUCCAUUCUGUUUAAACAUUUUUUACAGAAUUAGUUUCUGAGAGUUUAAUCUCCUCGACAUCCACUGGAAGUGUUGUUCCCUUGAACUGCAUAGCUGUUGGUUUCUUCUCAAUCUGAAUUAGCUUUUCCUUCACACUAUUAAUCUGUAGUUCCACAGAUGAUAUUUUAAUCACAGGCAUACAGACUACUUUUACUCCAGAGCCACUGAUUAUCUCUUAAGUGUUUGCAAUGUGAUAUUGUGAUGCUUACAUCCCUGUGCUGAUCUUAUUUAAAAAAAACAAUAUCUCGGUUUCUCACUGCUGACUGCUGGUACCUAUAUGUUUCUCUUUCUCCUACAUGUUUUUCCCUUGUUUCGGUUUCUCUCCAUCCAUAUAACAAGGGUUGGUGGGACAAAAAUCGCCAUUUGUCAUCAUGCUUAAAGGCUUAUUUUCUCUUGUGAGAUGAUUAGCAUUGGAAUGUGCUGAAAGAAAUAGUUGAAAGAUAUAUCAUGCACAUGAAUAUUGAUAUCUUGCAAUAUGGGGAAGGGGGUGUCAAGAGCAUUUCUUAGAAUAUCUAUCAAUCAGGUGUUCUUUCUGCAAUUGAGACGUUCCAAUCUCAUGAACAGCACGCCAUAAGCAAAACUAUUUGCAACACAAGCACCUGCUGUGCUUUAAAUGGUCUCUCUGUGCCUGUUUUAUGUUUACUUAAGCCAUUGAAGACUAGACAAGAUUGUUAAUACCACCUGAAUUACCCUCUGGGUAGAGUUAAUUGGAUAUUGUGUUGCGAGCUUACCAUGACACUUAAGACAUGCACUUCUAAGUGACCAGUUGCUACAUUUUUAGUCCGGAACAUAAAGUCUACACUUUAACAUAUCAUGAAGAAAUAACAGUACAAAUUUUCAAAAAACAUAUGAAGAAAAUUGAAGAGAUAGCUCUCAGAUAUCUGUGUACUACAAUUACUCUACGGUCUCAAUUUAGUCAGUAUAAUGUUAUUGUGACAUCAUAUGAUGUUAUUCGCAAAGAUGUUGAUUAUCUUAGGCAGCUCCUUCUAGAACUAUUGCAUUCUAAAUGAGGGACAUAUCAUAAAGAAUUCUAAGUCGAAAAGAACAGUUGCUGUUAACAGCAACUGAAGGCACAGCGUCGCCUCAUUCUGAGUGGAACGCCAAUACAGGUGUGUUUGUGCUAGUAGUUCAACCACAUUUGAAUAUUUACAACAAUUCAAUGGGUGCUUAUCAGUUCAGUCAGUUAAAUUGUACUUUUCCUGUGAUUGAUAUGUUGUUCACUGUGUCCAACAAUUCAAGUGUUUUUGUUCAACUUAUGCCCCUUAAAAGUUGGAUCUGGGUGGGAGUAUGUACAAUGAAGCUGGUACUACUUUCCAUUCUUCGAGUCAUGGACUAACCUACGCUUUAAUCUUCCUUCCGUCACAUUUUCUUGAUGCUGAAGCAGGUAUGCUUGCUAUGGAAGCAUUGCACAAGCAGGUGAUGCCUUUUCUCUUUCGUCGGACUAAAGAUGAAGUCUUAUCUGAUCUGCCAUAGAAAAUUAUUCAGGAUGGAUACUGUGACCCGAGUCCUGUUCAGUUAAAACUCUAUGAACAAUUUUCUGGUUCACAUGUAAGGCAAGAAAUUUCGCCAAAAAAAUUAUUUUUAUAUUUGUGGAGCAUAGAAAUGAUGAUGAAUUUUUAAAAUAUUUUGAUAUACGUAUUUGGUUUUGUGUGGAA